rnacentral:rRNA from 1 species
UACGUAGGGUGCGAGCGUUGUCCGGAUUUAUUGGGCGUAAAGAGCUCGUAGGCGGUUUGUCGCGUCGGCCGUGAAAUCUCCACGCUUAACGUGGAGCGUGCGGUCGAUACGGGCAGACUUGAGUUCGGUAGGGGAGACUGGAGUUCCUGGUGUAGCGGUGAAAUGCGCAGAUAUCAGGAGGAACACCGGUGGCGAAGGCGGGUCUCUGGGCCGAUACUGACGCUGAGGAGCGAAAGCGUGGGGAGCGAACAGG